rnacentral:lncRNA from 1 species
AAAGGACUGUUGUGCAGCCAGUAGUGAAUGAUGUACACAGGUUGUUUACAUAGGUGAUAAAGGGCUGCUGCGAGCCAGUGGGGAAUGAUGUACAUAGGCUGUUUACAUUAGGUGAUAAAGGACUGCUGUGCAGCCAGUAGUGAAUGAUGUACAUAGGUUGCCACAUAGGUGAUAAAGGACUGCCAGCAGCCAGUAGUGAAUGAUGCACAUAGGUUGUUUACAUAGGUGAUAAAGGGACUGUUGUGCAGCCAGUAGCAAUGAUGUACAUAGGUUGUUUACAUAGGCGAUAAAGGGACUGUUGUGCAGCCAGUAGCGGAAUGGACAGGUUGUUUACAUAGGUGAUAAAGGGACUGUUGGGCAGCCAGUGGGGAAUGAU